rnacentral:rRNA from 1 species
UACGGAGGGUGCGAGCGUUGUCCGGAAUCAUUGGGCGUAAAGAGCUCGUAGGCGGUUUGUCGCGUCUGCUGUGAAAACCCGAGGCUCAACCUCGGGCCUGCAGUGGGUACGGGCAGACUAGAGUGCGGUAGGGGAGAUUGGAAUUCCGGGUGUAGCGGUGGAAUGCGUAGAGAUCCGGAAGAACACCGGUGGUGAAGGCGGUCUGCUGGGGUCGAACUGACGCUGAGGCGCGACAGCGUGGGGAGCAAACAGG